CAAACAGGGAUUGCCUCAGUAACGGCGAGUGAAGCGGCAACAGCUCAAAUUUGAAAUCUGGCCCUAGGCCCGAGUUGUAAUUUGCAGAGGAUGCUUUUGGUGCGGUGCCUUCCAAGUUCCCUAGAACGGGACGCCAGAGAGGGUGAGAGCCCCGUACAGUUGGACACCAAGCCUUUGUAAAGCUCCUUCGACGAGUCGAGUAGUUUGGGAAUGCUGCUCAAAAUGGGAGGUAUAUUUCUUCUAAAGCUAAAUACCGGCCAGAGACCGAUAGCGCACAAGUAGAGUGAUCGAAAGAUGAAAAGCACUUUGAAAAGAGGGUUAAACAGCACGUGAAAUUGUUAAAAGGGAAGCGCUUGUGACCAGACUUGCGUCCGGUGAAUCACCCAGCUCUCGCGGCUGGGGCACUUCGCCGGCUCAGGCCAGCAUCAGCUCGCUGUCGGGGACAAAAGCUUCAGGAACGUAGCUCUCUUCGGGGAGUGUUAUAGCCUGUUGCACAAUACCCUUCGGCGGGCUGAGGUACGCGCUCCGCAAGGAUGCUGGCAUAAUGGUCAUCAGCGACCCGUCUUGAAACACGGACCAAGGAGUCAACCUUAUGUGCGAGUGUUCGGGUGUCAAACCCCUACGCGUAAUGAAAGUGAACGCAGGUGAGAGCUUCGGCGCAUCAUCGACCGAUCCUGAUGUUCUCGGAUGGAUUUGAGUAAGAGCAUAUAGGGUUGGACCCGAAAGAAGGUGAACUAUGCGUGUAUAGGGUGAAGCCAGAGGAAACUCUGGUGGAGGCUCGCAGCGGUUCUGACGUGCAAAUCGAUCGUCAAAUAUGCGCAUGGGGGCGAAAGACUAAUCGAA
rnacentral:rRNA from 1 species